GACGAACGCUGGCGGCGUGCUUAACACAUGCAAGUCGAACGGAAAGGCCCUGCUUUUGUGGGGUGCUCGAGUGGCGAACGGGUGAGUAACACGUGAGUAACCUGCCCUUGACUUUGGGAUAACUUCAGGAAACUGGGGCUAAUACCGGAUAGGAGCUCCUGCUGCAUGGUGGGGGUUGGAAAGUUUCGGCGGUUGGGGAUGGACUCGCGGCUUAUCAGCUUGUUGGUGGGGUAGUGGCUUACCAAGGCUUUGACGGGUAGCCGGCCUGAGAGGGUGACCGGCCACAUUGGGACUGAGAUACGGCCCAGACUCCUACGGGAGGCAGCAGUGGGGAAUAUUGCACAAUGGGCGGAAGCCUGAUGCAGCAACGCCGCGUGCGGGAUGACGGCCUUCGGGGUGUAAACAGCUUUCGCCUGUGACGAAGCGUGAGUGACGGUAAUGGGUAAAGAAGCACCGGCUAACUACGUG
rnacentral:rRNA from 1 species